UGGUUGGCCGAAACAAAAUCUUGGUCUGGAUUUUGACUUUCUGGACCUGAACUAUCCAGUAUGGUUAUAUAUCAGAGUAUUAAUGCACAUUUAAGCCUCAGCCAUUCCUAAAGAAUAUGGUGCCUUUGGGGUCCCAUGUGGGUUAUCAGUGGAAAUAUAAGCACUGUAAAUGUAAUAAGUGAAGGCUUACAGUCAUCGUGUCCCAUGAGGCAGAACAAGGCCCCUCCCAUACAGCUUGACAGGCGUCAUAAUUAAAGAGGCAUCUUCAGAGCACAAGCAAUUGGGUCAAACCACAUUUGUUACUCCAUUAAAUACGCAAAAUAAAGUUAACAUCUGCCAAAAAAUUCUUUAUUACUAUACUAUGUAAUAGCGCUCUGAUAACACGUUUCAAUAUGGCAGUGUUUCUCAACAUUAAGCAGGGGGUGACAGCAAGUAGAAAAUGCUACUUGAUCUCUCCGUCACUCAGCCAUUGUGCUGUUUUAAUGGAUAUUGGUAGAACGCUCCGUCACACUCUUUUUAUAGAAAUCCAAUUUCCCAGCAUUCAUGUAGAAAUGGAUUGAUUUCUGCAUUGUUAAUCCCCAGCACACUUGUCUGAGAUAUGGUAGUUCCACUUAUUUUGAUGAUAGAUUUAACAAAUGUCCUACAUUUUCUAUUCUGAUUCGUUCUUAUUAAUCUUUGAGCAAAUUGAAAAUAUAUUUAACUUACCUCAUUUUUCAUUCUUUAUCGACAAGACCACAAUAAGAAUGCGUCAGAAUGCCACGUUUGUUUCCGAAGAAAAUAUAUUCAUUAUGAAAAUAUUAUGUUCUAUUGGUGUUUGUUUUGAUGCAAUCUAGGAAUAAAAGCAAACGUCGUAAUUGACACAAACACACGACUUUUUGUUCCCUCUAAUGGUAGAGAUUUCCAGAAUAAAUGGUCAGCCAUUGUCGUCUUUUAAAGAGCUUUGAAAAUGGGAAUGUGGAAACAGAUAUUCAUUCCAUCACAGAUGAUUAGCUCAGCGUGGAUUUUACUUAAGAAAAUCACUUUUUUUACGCUGGGAAAACUGGAGAUGUGUAAAUCCCAGCCCUAUCAAUAACUAUGAAAAUGGAUGGGUGUUAACUCACAGGUAUAAUGUUUUCUAAGAUACAGAUGUCUAUCCUUACAAAUAUCCAUUGUCUUUACAAUCUAAGAGGACAUAAUUCUGUCCUUUUUUUAAAUAAUGAGCAGUAUAAACAUGCCAAGUUUUAUGCAUUUAUUUACAAUGCAGCACAAACAUUUUAAAAACACCAGCAGCACUGGUCACUCUAUCUUCAUUGUCAGAUCUAUAAAUUAACAUGUUUCCAUUCGGAGGUUUAAAUGGGGGGGGGGGGGGCUUAAAUAUUAAUGCCAUGCUGAUUAUUCGGUAUUCAACAGCAGCCUGGUUCAGAUGACCUUUCCUGGCCUUAAACCAGAAUUGAAUGGGAAGCAAUCCUCAUCUGAAGAUAGGCCGUGGGUUAGGGGUCACUGAGACUGCAUUUUUAAUAUCUCGUUAACGUAGCACGAGGUGAGAGUGGGGUGAGGUAAAGAUGCUGUGUCGAGCAGGUCCAGACUUGUCCGCAUCCGCACUCACUGGCUCACUAGCGACCACAGUUUACACCUUUGCUUUAAUUAAAACAGGCUCAUUUUCUCUGUUCCCUAUAAGGUUGGCUUGCCAGGGGAUGGGCAGCCAGCUGACCUUGGACCUGGUGACGUAUUUUCUCCUCCCUACUGGAGAGUUUUUCGUUUUCUCUCCUCCAUUGUCUUCUGGUUUUCUUUCUUCCUCUCUUCCAUCUUCCCUGACCCAGUAAUGUAUUGCCACCUACUCUUGUCAAGUGCCUUGGGAACGAGACUGUUGAAAAGUGAAUUGAAUUGAAUUGAUGCUCCGCAUCUCAUCCACUUUAGCUUCUCACUCUUGCACACGUGUGCACGUGCACUUACCAGCAUGCCACACAUGUGACUCGUGUGGCACUGCAUUAAAUCCAGAUGAAUAAACGAACAAAAACAUAAAAAUUGUUACAUGAAGUUAUCCAUGCAAGACAGUUAAUCUCACGUGGACCAGACACCUGGCAAGCUGAAAUGGGCAAUAACUGAGAACCGGACCAUUUGAAUUAUAGGAACAAAAGAGUGUGGUGACUUUGAGGAAUGAGCUCCUUCUGUUUUUUUUGCACUCGUGCUAUCUCACCUUUCAGAAAACACACACUCCGGAUGAGUGCAUGGGAUCUCUGGCCAUUAUUCUCAGUCUCAUCCUGGUGAGUCGUUUAUCACGCUCAUUCGCCCGCUUGGUGUCAUAAGGUGUCAACACAUGGACUGAACACUUAAAUGGAAGCUCCUUUCAUGAGCCUCUCUACUUGGAUGGCGGCAGCUAUGUCGGGCAUCUUUUGUGCCCUAAUUUGGUGCCCCGCUUCAUUUCUGUACCAUGCAACUUUUCAUGGGCUCCCAAGCAAAGAGACAGUAAGCAGCAGAUGAAUUACAGCCCAGUCCUUAAACACCGUACAGUCCCUAACUGAGUAUCAUUAAUAUAACUUGAAAAAUUCAAGAACAUAAGAAGAAGUGUGCCGAUAAAAGUAAAGCUGGAUGCACACCAGUCCGACGACAAAAAAUCGAAAAUCGGCUUGGUGUGGUCCAAGCUUAAAGAUCCAUUUUUGACCACUCUUAGUAUAACAAGAAGACACUGGAACAUUCCAGAAAAUACCAUAGAAGGUCACUGAUGUUAUGGACUAUGGACUCUGGAUUUCCCCUUCUUUUAGUUCUGUAUAAACACUUUGCUGAGGGUAGGUAGGUUCACUCAACGGCAGACAUUUCCUUCAAAACAGCCAUGACAUUUAAAAAGCCUUUGAAUAAGUUGGGGGGAUGGGGAGGGGGCAGAGGACCAUUUGACCCACAUCACAGAAACCGGGGAUGUAAUACCUUCCCCAUCCAUCCCAGAAGUCCCUCAGCAUGUUAAUGUCGCCUUCAUUUGAUGUGAAAUGGUAGCUUUGUUUUGGUGGGUGGCGCGGCUAAUUGAAAACUUAGCUUGCUAAUUAGCGGAUUAGCGGAACCCUGUCCACCGCCGCCUUGCAUUUCGUGGCUGUGAAUAUUGCCGCCUCCCAUUGCCUGGGCUUUUCGGCACCAUGAGGGAUUCUCGCUCUUUGAUGCAGAAGUGAGAACAGAGAGUUAAAGCACACAGAAGAGUGCCUUUAUAAGGGGGCCUGAACACAACAGCUAUGGAGCAUGCUGACCUCUAUAAAACCUCUAUAUGAUUUUCUAAUCAUCUACUUUGUUGUACUCUGCCAGCGAAGCCCGACUCUCAUAAUGUUCGUCAACCAACUGAACCCUUCAGGUGCAACCUGGCCAUCCCUAAGGUUGGAUCUCCGGAACAAUUGCAAAAAGACUCGGUUUGAUAAAUGCAGAUCAAAACAAGGAUAUUUUUUGCAGACUAAAACAGGCUAAUGAAUAAUGCAUCAGAUCAGUAAGUGAUAUGCACACAAAUGCCAUCCAUCUCAAAUCACUUGCAUAUUAAAGCAUGCAUGACUGUUGCAGAAGGCAGGGCCUAUCGCAAUGUGGAUUUGACAGGUGUAUGAAGCAGUCAUCGCAGUUAUUCAGCUCCUACAUUGGAAGUUUAAGAACCUCAUUUCCAUGUAAAUGACUAUUAAAUGGGAAGCAGGACACCACUAGUGCAUUCUGGGUCGGAUAUCCAGCCUGAAAGAUUCACAAGUUCCACCGUCCACAACAAACCAUACCAUGAACUUCCAUGCCCUUCCACGUGACCUGGGCGCACCUGAAACAUUUCAGACCUUCGAAACACACUUUUCCCCUAAAUCUCUAUUUCUAUUUUUGUCUUAUGGAGAUUUAAGCAGAACACCCCCCCCCCCCCCAACCACCACCUUUGAUCUAUUAAUACCGGAUGUGGUGAGGUGUCCGCAGCAUGUGCCAUGAUGAAAGCUGGAUCAAAGGCCAGUUGUAGUUAAUUGUGGGGAUUCUAAACGACAGGAUGCCCAUUGAUACUCCAAUGGGAUUUACAAUGAAAAUGAUAGGGACUCUGUAUUAUGAUUUGUAGGCCUAUUCCUCCAUUGUGUAAUGGUUCUAACUGAGCCUAGGCCAUACAUCUGCUCUUCUGCUAAUGAUCUACAGGAGAACCAAUGACACACAACUCACAGCUGGACAAAUAACCAUCAUCAUCAUUAUCAGUUUUUGCUCAGGGGGAGACUCCAGUUACAUGAUUAAAAUAUGCUGGUUAUUAAUAUUUUAAUUACCAUCCAGUCUAGUGCCUAAAAAUGGGGGCCUAUUACUCUUUUCUUGUGAAAAUGGCCACUAGCCGUCUGACCGUCAUUUUACAGAAGAAAAAUAAAACCUUAAUGACCUCAGAUUAGAUCCUGCUUUUGUUGCCCAAGAUGAGUUCUCUCACCAGAGGCUGACUUGCCCAGACCCUUCCCCGUAGGGCUGACUCAGGCCUUAGAAAUAUACCCUUGACCUGGACAGCUGAGAGUGAUUAGUCUGUAGGAGGUCCUCACUUAUCCAGCUCCAGGAUCAUCACUGGAUGGGCCAGCUGCCAUGAAGAACCAAUGACUUCUAUGAGAAUGCGGUUGGAGUCAAAAAAUCUGACAGCAAGUUAGUUUGAGAAUCACAGCAAUAAGAACAGAACCUGCCUCUUCCAUAAACCAUUUUGAGUUAUUCCUACUAUUCUUCCUUCUGCUCAAAACUAUUCCUGCUGUGAUGACUGGAUUUUUCUCAUCCAAUAUCGACCACCACCAAAACCACUACCACAAUAACCGUUCCCGACAAUAAGAAUAGACAUUAUGAUACUCAAAUUUCAAAAUCUGGCUUUAUAACUCAUUGUUAUACAAUGUUUUGUUCUCUGUUGACACAAAGAGCCUUGAAUUUAAAUAUCUGUCAGCAAAGGAAAAGAUUAAUCAUUGAUUUAGCUGUCAAAGACCAAUAGUCUGAACGCCGACCUUCUGCACCUUGCAGAAAAUAACCAUCUAUCUGAAUCCAGGAUGAUAAUGGAUUAUUGAACCCAAACAGAGCUGGCUGUCUCUUCUUUAAAUUAUAUUUCUAAUUUAACUCUUCUCUUCAACUUUACAUUAAUUCAUUGGCAUAUAUAGUUUCUAAACUAAAUAAUAAUCUUUGUUAUUAUGUUAGCAUGUGGGGAUAUUUGCAUAUAAUUUCUGUUUACUGAAUGGCAGAACUGUGGAAUUUGACACGGGGCACUUUCCUUAAAACCUGCUGUUUGUGGCAAAAAAAUAACAUCUCGCCUUAUCUCAUCUUCUGACUACUUUUCCUGGUGAGGGUCGCAGUGGCAGCAUGCUGAGUAGGUAAGACCGGACCUAUUUUUCCAAGUGAGUCAUCCAGGUGUCAUCCUCAUAAUGUCCAAACCACCUUAGCUGAUUCCUCUCUAUCUGCAGGAGCAGCGGCUCUUUUCUGACAUCUCUCUGGACAUCCAAACUCCUCACUCCAUCACAGAGAGCAAGUCUAGCAGCCCUGUGGAGAAAUGUCAUGACCUUGUUCUUACAGCUGAAGACCAUAGCUGAAACAACACGGAGAAGGAACCUGUGGCUUUUGGAGAUGUGCAGACCUCGCCUGGAGAUGUGCAGACCUCGCCUGGAGAUGUGCAGACCUCUCCUGAUCCUACUAGGAAGCUUCAUCUGCUGAAUGGUUCUGGCACUGUUUCGCUUGCUUCACUUGCUGAUGAACUGGGACUGGGAUGAACUGACCAGAUCCACGGCUCAUGGUUUUAUGGAUAGCGACGCAAAAAUCGAACAAAUGGAACAAAACAGAAUGUAAACAAACAGAACAGAGCUACAAAAUGCAAUGGCCAAAGAAACAAUAUAUUGUUAUAGUGAUUUUUCAGAUUCACGUUAUUGAUCCCAGAGGGAGGUUCCUAUGGAGAUCAAAGACGAAGAAACUGUCACAGCCUGAAGCAGUGAGACAGGAGAUAUGAGGCUUCAAAAUUCACGUUUUCACAUUUUGGUUCCUGCUUAUUUCCACUGGGUUAUAAUACCAGGUCAUCUUUCCCAUCACUGUCAGCCUCUGCCAUUAUUUGAAACUGUUGACUCUUCCAUCUUUCCUCAAAGAAAAUCCAGUCCUCCUUGAAUCUUUUGCCGAUUGUUGUCAACCAAAAACAGCAAACAGCAUUUCUUUCCCCCUCAUGCUACCCUGAUUUUCAGCCUGCCUGAAAAGAGCCCACACAUGAAGAUGUGAGGAGAACAUGUCACUUGGUAUCUUCCCUGCGGUGCCACGAACUCAACAGCGAUGGGCUGAAGUCAUCAGUUUGUGACACAUUAGCAAAAGCACGGGUGGGCCCUUCCAAACUCGCCAAAAAGCAUCGCAAAGUGCCUGCGACAGAGGGGUAACCCGGCAACCGCUUUGAUCUGUCACCGUGUUCCAUUUUGUGAUGUCAGCGCUUGACAGCGGCAGAUGGCUGCCUCCUCGCUGACACGGCCUGUCAGAACCAUCCCCUGAGAGCAUGAGCGCCAUCUGGCUGUGGGAGCGGCUCGUGACAGCUCGGCUGUUAUGGCUUGUAAAGCAGACACAUUGAUUGGGGCGAACUUGUACAACAGGCAGCGGCCUGCAAGAAGGCUCACACAGGUGGGGCUCACACAGAAGGAAGGGGAUAUGCGUAAUGUUAAUUGAUUAAACUUACCAGAGCUGUUAAUGUCUUGAUUACCUGUGCAGUCUUACUCUGAUUCUGUACCUCUAUUCUCUUCACCUGUAUGUGUAGCUCGUAAAUUAGAUAGAUGGG